rnacentral:rRNA from 1 species
UUGGAGGGCAAGUCUGGUGCCAGCAGCCGCGGUAAUUCCAGCUCCAAUAGCGUAUAUUAAAGUUGUUGCAGUUAAAAAGCUCGUAGUUGAAUUUCGGGAUCAGAUUGUCGGUCGUGCCUCGGUACGCACUGGCAUUAUUGGUUCCUACCUUCUGAAGAACCGCGAUGUCAUUAAUUUGGUGUCGUGGGGAAUCAGGACUGUUACUUUGAAAAAAUUAGAGUGUUUAAAGCAGGCGCACGUUUGAAUACAUUAGCAUGGAAUAAUGAAAUAGGACGUUUGAUUCUAUUUUGUUGGUUUCUAGGAUCGACGUAAUGAUUAAUAGGGAUAGUUGGGGGCAUUAGUAUUCAAUUGUCAGAGGUGAAAUUCUUGGAUUUAUUGAAGACUAACUACUGCGAAAGCAUUUGCCAAGGAUGUUUUCAUUAAUCAAGAACGAAAGUUAGGGGAUCGAAGACGAUCAGAUACCGUCGUAGUCUUAACCAUAAACUAUGCCGACUAGGGAUCGGAUGAUGUUAAUUUUUUAAUGACUCAUUCGGCGCCUUACGGGAAACCAAAGUGUUUGGGUUC